rnacentral:ncRNA from 1 species
CUCUUAUCCGGAGUGGUGGAGGGACUGGCCCAAUGAAACCCGGCAACCCUUGGGAAGUAAAGCAACCCCAAAAGGUGCUAAUUCCUGCAGAAGAGAUUUUCUUCUGACAGAUAAGAG